GGCUCAGGAUGAACGCUAGCGACAGGCCUAACACAUGCAAGCAGGGGCAGCACAGGAGCAAUCUGAGGUGGCGACCGGCGCACGGGUGAGUAACACGUAUGCAACCUGCCUGUAAGCGGGGAAUAACCCGUUGAAAGACGGACUAAUACCGCAUAAUACUAAAUUACUGCAUGGUAAUUUAUUUAAACAUUUUAUGGCUUACAGAUGGGCAUGCGCAUGAUUAGCUAGUUGGAGAGGUAACGGCUCCCCAAGGCAACGAUCAUUAGGGGUUCUGAGAGGAAGGUCCCCCCACACUGGUACUGAGACACGGACCAGACUCCUACGGGAGGCAGCAGUGAGGAAUAUUGGUCAAUGGACGAGAGUCUGAACCAGCCAAGUCGCGUGCAGGAAGAAUUGUCCUAUGGAUUGUAAACUGCUUUUGCAGGGGAAUAAAGUGCAUCACGUGUGAUGUUUUGUAUGUACUCUGCGAAUAAGGAUCGGCUAACUCCGUGCCAGCCGCGGC
rnacentral:rRNA from 1 species